rnacentral:lncRNA from 1 species
GGGUCCAGGGCAGGAGCCGCAGAGGGGCAGACCCCCAAGGUGAUCAGAGCACUUGAUUGUGGCAAGGAAGGGCAUGUGGUCCCUUCUGUGCCCCAUAGGUGAGAUCAGUAGUGACCAACCUGGGGCCCACACUUGUUCUCUGCAGGCUUGCUAGCAGAUGGCUUGUGCUGUGUCCUCCCCUCAGUGUCAUCCUUUUAACAAGAAUCACAGAAUUGAAGCUUUCAAGGGUCUCCGGGUAGCAGGUGGUGGAGGCUCCGCUAAGGCUCUGGGAGGUGUACUGGAGUUGAAGUGAGAGGCAUCACCCUGGGAGGGUCUCUCCCAUCCUUGCUCCUCCCCUGUCCAGUGAGGGACUAGAUCAGCACUUCCCUCAAAGUCUGCUGCCUGGACCAUCAAUUUCAAAUGACCAAGGUCCAUGGACCUAAUAACACAGAACUGCGUGACCACACACAGACAAAAACACCUCCAGCACCUCACCUUGUCACCUUUGGAAAGACUGGGCCCUGAGUAUCAGAGUCUGAUCAGAACACCACCCCUACCACCUUCAUUUCUUUAGCCUAAAGCUCCGGCCUUCAUUGAAAUAAAAUCUCAUGCAGUAAAUUGUUAUCAGUCGUUUAUACCCCCAGGAGCCUGAGCUUCAAAUAAUUUGCUGAGGACAGAUGUGAGCCCAGAGAAAAACCACUAGAAAUUUCUGAGAUAAAUAUUGCCCCAUUCACAAUUUCAACUAUGGCUGGUGCCGAAUAAGAACGAAUCUUCCCAAACAGGCACAUACCUAGUGGUUCUCGCCCAUCCUACUUCGGGAGUUUGUUCCUGACCUUGCUACUUGUUUGAAGCUUAGCACAUCCUGACCGAAGCCUUAGACCCUGCUUCCAACAGAAUUUGAACUGGAAACUAGUGUUUGCCCAAGGCUUUCCUGCUGAAAAAUAAUAUUUGUGGAAG